rnacentral:rRNA from 1 species
UACGUAGGUGGCAAGCGUUGUCCGGAUUUAUUGGGUUUAAAGGGUGCGUAGGCGGUUCUAUAAGUCAGUGGUGAAAUACGGCAGCUCAACUGUCGAGGUGCCAUUGAUACUGUAGAACUUGAGUACAGACGAGGUAGGCGGGAUUGACGGUGUAGCGGUGAAAUGCGUAGAUAUCGGGAGGAAUACCAAUGGCGAAGGCAAGCUUCUGGGCCGUUACUGACGCUGAGCUGCGAAAGCUAGGGGAGCAAACAGG